rnacentral:tRNA from 1 species
GAUGGACUCAAUUGGUUGAGCAGAGCAUUGAAGCUGCUUUGGUUGUAGGUUCGAGUCCUAUCUUGAGCA